rnacentral:sRNA from 1 species
GUUGAGGGUAGUGGCACCAGCCUGCAGUCCAGCUACUUGGGAGGCUGAGGCAGGAGGAUCCCUUGAGCCCAGGAGUUUGGGGUCAGCUUGGGCAACAUGGCAAUACCCUGUCUCAU